rnacentral:rRNA from 1 species
UACAGAGGUCCCAAGCGUUGUUCGGAUUCACUGGGCGUAAAGGGUGCGUAGGCGGCGCGAUAAGUUGGGCGUGAAAGGCCCGGGCUCAACCCGGGGACUGCGCUUGAUACUGUCGCGCUGUGAGUCCGGGAGAGGAUGGCGGAAUUCCCAGUGUAGAGGUGAAAUUCGUAGAUAUUGGGAAGAACACCGGUGGCGAAGGCGGCCAUCUGGACCGGCACUGACGCUGAGGCGCGAAAGCGUGGGGAGCAAACGGG